CGGUAAUUCCAGCUCCAAUAGCGUAUACUAAAGUUGUUGCAGUUAAAAAGCUCGUAGUUGGAUUUCUGCGGGGACGGAGCGGCCGGACGCAACUUGCGUCUCGAGCUAGCGCUUUCCCCGCAUCCUGCCGCGAACCGUGCUACCAUUAGCUUGGUGGCGCUGGGGAUCGGCUCGAUUACUUUGAGAAAAAUAGAGUGUUCAAAGCAGGCCACACGCCUUGAAUAAGUUAGCAUGGAAUAAUGACUAAGGACUUUGGUUCUUUUCGUUGGUGUUCGGGACUGAAGUAAUGAUUGAUAGGGACAGUUGGGGCGGUCUGUAUUCCAAAGCGAGAGGUGAAAUUCUUAGACCUUCGGAAGACAAACAGCUGCGAAAGCGUUCCGCAAGGAUGUUCCCUUUGAUCAAGAACAAAAGUUGGGGGAUCGAAGACGAUCAGAUACCGUCGUAGUCUCAACUAUAAACUAUACCAGCUAGGGAUCGGCCAACGUUUAAUUAUUCGACUUGGUCGGCACCUUAUGGGAAAUCAAAGCAUCUGGGUUCCGGGGGGAGUAUGGUCGCAAGGCUGAAACUUAAAGGAAUUGACGGAAGGGCACCACCAGGCGUGGAGCCUGUGGCUUAAUUUGACUCAACACGGGAAAACUUACCAGGUCCAGACAUAGGAAGGAUUGACAGAUUGAUAGCUCUUUCUUGAUUCUGUGGGUGGUGGUGCAUGGCCGUUUUUAGUCGGUGAAGUGAUUUGUCUGCUUAAUUGCGUUAACGGACGAGACCCCAGCCUGCUAAAUAGCGCGGCCGAGCUUUGCUCGGUGCGAGCUUCUUAGAGGGACCAUGAUGCGCGAUAGCACAAGGAAGUUUGGGGCAACAACAGGUCUGUGAUGCCCUUAGAUGUUCUGGGCCGCACACGGGCUACACUGGCGCCUGCAACGAGCAUAUCAGCUGGCCCGAGAGGGUCUUGGCUAAUCUUUGGAACCGGCGCCGUGCUUGGGAUUGACCAUUGCAAUUGUUGGUCAUGCAACGAGGAAUGCCUUGUAAACGCGAGUCAUCAGCUCGCAUUGAAUACGUCCCUGCCCUUUGUACACACCGCCCGUCGCUCCUACCGAUGAAUGUUCCGAUGAAAUUUUCGGAGAGCGCCAGAGAACGGGGCUCUGCCCUGCAGAACUGGAGGCUCAAAGUCACUUAAAUCUGAACAUUUCGAGGAAGGAGAAGUCGUAACAAGGUUUCCGUAGGUGAACCUGCAGAAGGAUCA
rnacentral:rRNA from 1 species